UACGUAGGGUGCGAGCGUUGUCCGGAAUUAUUGGGCGUAAAGAGCUCGUAGGCGGUCUGUGCGCGUCCGUCGAAAACCUGCAGCUUACACGUGGCAGGCGUCGGUCGAUACGGGCAGCUGGAGUUCGGUGGAGGGAGACUGGAAUUCCUGGUGUAGCGGUGAAAUGCGCAGAUAUCAGGAGGAACACCGGUGGCAAAGGCGGGUCUCUGGGCCGAUACUGACGCUGGAGGAGCGAAAGCCGUGGGGAGCAAACAGG
rnacentral:rRNA from 1 species